UAGGUAACCUGCCUCUAAGAUUGGGAUAACUUGUCGAAAGACGAGCUAAUACCAAAUAAGACCACAGUCUCCUCGGGGACAGAGGUCAAAGGUAGCCUCUAUUUAUAAGCUAUCGCUGAGAGAUGGGCCUGCGUACCAUUAGCUUGUUGGUGAGGUAACGGCUCACCAAGGCAAAGAUGGUUAGCUGGUCUGAGAGGAUGAUCAGCCACACUGGAA
rnacentral:rRNA from 1 species